GAAAUAUGUAUAUGUGUGCGCCCAUGUGUUUUCGCGUUCAGUUAAGCAAAACAAGCGGCAAAUAUAACAUGCAAAACCGCCUAAAACUGAUUGUGCGAGCGCAGCAACCACAACAACAAUAACAACGUAGCGAAUGAACAUAGAAAACAUAAAAGAUAAUUGAGAGAGUAACCGCUAUAGUAGCGUGAGUGUAAAUUUACCCAAGAGCGCUAUCAAAGUAACACGAGCGUACUCGUCGAGUGGGUUGUGCCACUGACAGCCAGCAAUAACAGAAACACACGACAACAAAACACCGUAUAUUUUCAAUAGCAGCCUAGCCUCUGACGGCUGUAUUAUUUCGCGUCCUUCAUUUAUUUACGCCAGUG